UCCAUUUUUGUCAUCUGCAGUCCCUUUGGUGCUGGCUUCCAGCUCGGGCUGGGGAGGGGAGAGAAGCGGAUUACAGGUCAGCCAUAUGCCAGGCCUGGAAGCGGGAUGUACAUCUCUGUUGCAUUUUCUUCAUCAGCGGUGGUUCGGAGAGAUGGAAAUGUCUCAUAGCAGUGUCUUAUCUGGAACCAUUAAUACGAACUCUACAAAAGCCAGAUUGCUGGGUUAAAAGAUCAUCAAGCACUUCAAUCCCCCCACUCCUACCUGGUACUGGCUGUUUUGGUGAAGAAGUCUGGGGUCUGCUUCAAUUCUUUUCUCCUUGAUGUGACAAGAUUUUUCUACCUUUUGCAGUAAGAUUUUUCUUUUCCAUUUUUGAAGUUCAGCAAUUUCAAAAGAGUA